GUACAUAUUUUAGGAAAAGCAACCCGGGUCGUAAUUACCCAAUCCGUCACCAGGGAGGUAUGAGAGGAAUAACUGGGGGGGUGGAUAAGCCGGUGGAAUUUCUUUACGCCUUUAGGGGUUGGGGGAGGAUUGCCCUUCCACAUGUAUCCAACGGAGCAGAGGGAUAACGCCUUUUUCACGGAACAUAUGGAGGGCAAAUCUGGUGCCCCCAAGCCGGGAAAAAUUCCAGUUCCAAAACUGUACAUAAAAGUUGGUGCAGAUAAAAAAGCCCGGUAGUUGGACCUUUUUUGGGGGGUUUGGGGGGGAUCUUAAUUUUUUAUGGGUGUUUCUUUCAGAUCUCUUUGCAUGGGGAGGGCGGUGUGACGCAAGGUGUGCCCCCUUAUGCCAAGCCUAUAAAUUUUUUUUACUGUGAAGAAAUUACAGUGCUCAAGACAGGUUAAUGCCUUGAAUACAUCAGCAUGGAAUAAGUGAACAAGACUUGGUUUGUCGUCAGCGUUUUUUUUGGGAGAAAAAGAAAUGCGCUGCAGGGGGUGCCCGGCUUUUUACGAGUCGGCCCAGCCAUCCUAAACAGGAUAUGCAUCCCGAACGACCCAGUAAUGAUUAAAAGGAGCAGUUGGGGACAUUGGUAUUUUGUAGUCAGAGGUGAUAUUCUUGGAUUUACAAGAGACCAGCUAAAGCGAAAGCAUUUGUCAAGGAUGUUUUCAUUAAUCAAGAGCGAAAGUUAGGGUAGCGAAAAUGAUUAGAUACCAUUGUAGUCCUAACCGGAAACGAUGCCGACUGGGGAUGCGUCGUGCGGUUUUUUAUGGGUUUCUUGCAAAAAAAACAAACGUUUUUAAAAAUGCGGGUGUUGUUUCUUGAAACUCUAUCCUCCCGACGCCGCCUUUAGAGAAAUCAAAGUCUUGGUCCGGGGGGAGAUGCGCUAAGUG
rnacentral:rRNA from 1 species